AGUCAGCAGUGAGCACAUUUUUCCCACUGGCGGCACCCGUAGGGUAGUAACCCCGAUGGGUUAAAGACUGCUUUUCAGGUCGUAAAGAUCGGUCAAGAGGGAUUAACCUAUUUAUGACAAUACUGCCAUAUGAUGACGGUCCCAUCAAGGAAGCACCGGCGAACUCCGUGCCCGCAGCCGCGGUAAUACGGGGGGUGCGAGCGUUAUUCGGAAUUAUUGGGCGUAAAGAGCGCGUAGGCGGUCUUUUAAGUCAGGUGUGAAAGCCUGGGGCUCAACCCCGGAAGUGCACUUGAAACUAAGAGACUUGAGUAUGGGAGAGGGAAGUGGAAUUCCUGGUGUAGCGGUGAAAUGCGUAGAUAUCAGGAGGAACAUCGGUGGCGAAGGCGACUUCCUGGACCAAUACUGACGCUGAGGCGCGAAGGCGUGGGGAGCAAACAGGAUUAGAUACCCUGGUAGUCCACGCAGUAAACGGUGAACACUAGGUGUAGCGGGUAUUGACCCCUGCUGUGCCGCAGCAAACGCAUUAAGUGUUCCGCCUGGGGAGUACGGCCGCAAGGUUAAAACUCAAAUGAAUUGACGG
rnacentral:rRNA from 1 species